GUUUACAAUAUAUUGGUACACAACCAAUUAAGUGGGUGAUUGGUUCGUCUGUAACUGUAGAUUUAUUGCUGUAAAAUUUUUGUUGUAGGUGUGAUGGAUAUGGCUGUAGGUUUUAUUGCUGUAGAAAUUAGACUGUAGGUUUUAUUUAUAUAAUAUUAUUAUUUAAAGAAAUUGGUUGUAGAAAUAAGAUUUUGAUUGUAUGCAUUUUUAAA
rnacentral:sRNA from 1 species